UACGUAGGGUGCAAGCGUUAAUCGGAAUUACUGGGCGUAAAGCGUGCGCAGGCGGUUUUGUAAGCCAGAUGUGAAAUCCCCCGGGCUUAACCUGGGAAUGGCAUUUGGGACUGCAAGGCUUGAGUGCGGCAGAGGAGACUGGAAUUCCUGGUGUAGCAGUGAAAUGCGUAGAUAUCAGGAGGAAUACCGAUGGCGAAGGCAGGUCUCUGGGCUGACACUGACGCUCAUGCAC
rnacentral:rRNA from 1 species